AUGUUCACAUUUAUUGUUUUGUUGUUCUUAGUGUUCAGUUUAUGUUUUAUAAUAAAUGAUAUGGACACUUUCCACGCUGCGUUUUGGUCCAAUCCCUGCUACACCUCCUCUUCAGACGAAGAGGAGGAAAUCUGCAGUUACAGAAACACCCACCACAAAAGGACCAAGCUGUGUUGUAAUGGGCAGCAGCAGCAGCGAUGUCAGGAUUUCUGGACAUGGGAGCGAGAUCUGGACUGUGUCACUACUUGGGAGGAGAUAGACAGGUGGGCGGUUGACCCAGGGAGAGUGCCGGAGCCCGCCUGGGAUUCUCUGGAGCAGUGUGGGGAGGGAUACCGGCAAAUGGAGUCAGCACGGGGGCGCGAUAGGAAGCCCGAGAGGCAGCCCCAAAGAUUUCUUGGGGGCACACAGGGAGUGUGGCGAAGCCAGGUAGGAGACCUGCGCCAACUUCCUGUGCUUACUGGAGAGCGAGAGAGACCGGGCAGGCACCGUGUUAGAGUGGGCAUCGAGCCAGGUGCCAUGAAGCCGGCUCUACGCAUUUGGUCUCCAGUGCGUCUCCUUGGGCCGGCGUACAUGGCACUAGCCAUACGCAUGGUGUCCCCGGUUCGCCAGCACAGCCCGGGCUACAGGGAGCAUUCAACCAGGUAUGGUUGGGCAUGCUCGGUGCUCAAGAGCUCCAGUGCGCCUGCACGGUCCGGUCUAUCCAGUGCCACCUCCACGCACCAGCCCUCCAGUGGCAGCCCCCCGCACCAGGCUGUCUCUCCGUCUUCUGCCUACAGGGUCUCCCGUCUGUCCAGAGCUGCCAGAGUCUCCCGUCUGUCCAGAGCUGCCAGAGUCUCCCGUCUGUCCAGAGCUGCCAGAGUCUCCCGUCUGUCCAGAGCUGCCAGAGUCUCCCGUCUGUCCAGAGCUGCCAGCCAGCCAGGAGCUGCCAGGAUCUGCCAGAGCCGUCAGUCAGCCAGGCGAUGCUGGAAUCGCCCUUCACUCCGGAGCUGCCGGAGUCUCCCGCCUGUCCGGCGCUGCCGGAAUCCCCCGUCCAUUCGGGACCCAUGUCUAGGGUUCCCAGUCCAAGGUCGGUAG
rnacentral:lncRNA from 1 species